rnacentral:rRNA from 1 species
AGGGAAUAUUAGAAAUGGACGAAAGUCUGAUCUAGCAACACCGCGUGUGCGAAGAAGGCCUUCGGGUUGUAAAGCACUUUUUGGAAGGAUUAGGAAGGAAUGUACUUCCAGAAUAAGUCUCGGCUAACUACGUGCCAGCAGCCGCGGUAACACGUAGGAGGCAAACGUUAUCCGGAUUUACUGGGCGUAAUGCGCGUGUAGGUGGUUCUGUAAGUAGGGCGUGAAAGCUCCUGGCUCAACUGGGAGAGGCCGUUCUAAACUGCAGAGCUAGAGGAUGGUAGAGGGAGAUGGAAUUCCGGGUGUAGCGGUGGAAUGCGCAGAUAUCCGGAGGAACACCAGUGGCGAAAGCGGCCUCCUGGACCAUUCCUGACACUCAGACGCGAAAGCUAGGGUAGCAAACGG